ensembl:lncRNA MPDU1-AS1 MPDU1 antisense RNA 1
CUUCUCAGAAGUGACUUCCGUCCAGCUCGGCAUGGCGGCAGUCACUGCCGUCACUUAGUCGCCGAUCAAGGCUUGGACUAAGGGCCCACGGUCACUCGAGUAGGACUUGGAUCGGAUGCUGAAUAAAACUCACCGUGAAGCAAGUCCCACUGAACGAAAAGUUGGUCGUAGCAUUUCUCAGGUGGGAUAGGAGCAUGCCAGGUGCUGCGAGGGUUUAAUCGGGCUCUUCUGCUGGCCUUGAAUAUGGUGGACAGGACAGGACAUUCUCAUUGCUCAGGAGCCACUGGCGCUGCCUUUGGGAAUGAAGUUCCACAGCCCCCCACUCAUUGCUUUGGCUGUCUGCUGCAUUUGAAACUGUACGAGGGUCAGGAAGAAGGCUGCGGGGAUGAAUGGCUCUACCGGCUUGCCACGGAUGGGGAACUGGAGCAGCCAGUGGCCCCAAGAGGAGGAAGGAAGGGAGGCACGGCAGACCCAACACCAGCUGUGCCAGGCUUUGGGGGGUGAACCCAUGAGGCAUCGUCACACACUGACAUUUUCAUCCCUCCUCAGCAGCUGCUUCCGGCUCCCUGAGACCCAGCCAUGGAAGGCAUAGAAAGGCAUGUGACAAGAAACUCAUGGCUUUUAAUCCUGGCAGGACAAGGAAAACCCCGUCAAAGAUUUGCAUAAAUUUUGCUGCUCUCCUGCUGGGGGGGGGGGGGGGGCAGUUCGUCACAUUUAAUAAAAUUCUCUCCCUCCCUUCUCCCGA